rnacentral:rRNA from 1 species
UACACACCGCCCGUCACACCAUGGGAGUGGGUUGCAAAAGAAGUAGGUAGCUUAACCUUCGGGAGGGCGCUUACCACUUUGUGAUUCAUGACUGGGGUGAAGUCGUAACAAGGUAACCGUAGGGGAACCUGCGGUUGGAUCACCUCCUUACCUAAGAGA